rnacentral:rRNA from 1 species
GUGAGGAAUUUUCCGCAAUGGGCGAAAGCCUGACGGAGCAAUGCCGCGUGAAGGAUGAAGGCCUAUGGGUUGUAAACUUCUUUUCUCAGAAAAGAAUUAUGACGGUAUCUGAGGAAUAAGCAUCGGCUAACUCUGUGCCAGCAGCCGCGGUAAGACUGAGGAUUCAAGCGUUAUCCGGAAUGAUUGGGCGUAAAGCGUCUGUAGGUUGUUUAAAAAGUAUUCUGUCAAAGAUUAGGGCUUAACCCUAGAUAGGCAGAAUAAACUUUUAAGCUAGAGUUUGGUAGAGGCAGAGGGAAUUCCCGGUGGAGCGGUGAAAUGCGUAGAUAUCGGGAGGAACACCAAAGGCGAAGGCACUCUGCUGGGCCAAUACUAACACUGAGAGACGAAAGCGAGGGGAGCAAAUGGGAUUAGAUACCCCGGUAGUCC